rnacentral:lncRNA from 1 species
CUUAUCUAAUUCUCUGUUGGUGUUAUUAUUUUUAGAUGCACAACAUAUCUCUUCCAAUAACACACAUCACCCUCCUACAGGUGAGGGGCUUUGAAAUCUGCAAACUGACGAACUAGACCUGUUGUAACAACUCUUUAAAUAAAGAAGCUACCUCAUAUUCCACUCUCCAAAUAUGCCAGAACAUCAGAGUCCUGGGGUCACAGCUGUCUGCUGCUAUGUGCCUGAUUUGGUUGGCUCAGAGGCAUGGAGAAAGUGUUUGCUAUGUCGCCCAACUCCAGAUGAAGUUCUUUCU